rnacentral:rRNA from 1 species
CCUUUGAUCUGAAAUCAGGCGGGAUUACCCGCUGAACUUAAGCAUAU